AGUGGGGAAUAUUGGACAAUGGGCGCAAGCCUGAUCCAGCCAUGCCGCGUGAGUGAUGAAGGCCCUAGGGUUGUAAAGCUCUUUCACCGGUGAAGAUAAUGACGGUAACCGGAGAAGAAGCCCCGGCUAACUUCGUGCCAGCAGCCGCGGUAAUACGAAGGGGGCUAGCGUUGUUCGGAAUUACUGGGCGUAAAGCGCACGUAGGCGGAUAUUUAAGUGAGGGGUGAAAUCCCAGGGCUCAACCCUGGAACUGCCUUUCAUACUGGGUAUCUCGAGUUCGAGAGAGGUGAGUGGAAUUGCGAGUGUAGAGGUGAAAUUCGUAGAUAUUCGCAGGAACACCAGUGGCGAAGGCGGCUCACUGGCUCGAUACUGACGCUGAGGUGCGAAAGCGUGGGGAGCAAA
rnacentral:rRNA from 1 species